rnacentral:rRNA from 1 species
GAUGAACACUGGCGGCGUGCCUAAUACAUGCAAGUCGAGCGAACAGACGAGGAGCUUGCUCCUCUGAUGUUAGCGGCGGACGGGUGAGUAACACGUGGAUAACCUACCUAUAAGACUGGGAUAACUUCGGGAAACCGGAGCUAAUACCGGAUAACAUGUUGAACCGCAUGGUUCAACAGUGAAAGACGGUCUUGCUGUCACUUAUAGAUGGAUCCGCGCCGCAUUAGCUAGUUGGUAAGGUAACGGCUUACCAAGGCAACGAUGCGUAGCCGACCUGAGAGGGUGAUCGGCCACACUGGAACUGAGACACGGUCCAGACUCCUACGGGAGGCAGCAGUAGGGAAUCUUCCGCAAUGGGCGAAAGCCUGACGGAGCAACGCCGCGUGAGUGAAGAAGGUCUUCGGAUCGUAAAACUCUGUUAUUAGGGAAGAACAAAUGUGUAAGUAACUAUGCACGUCUUGACGGUACCUAAUCAGAAAGCCACGGCUAACUACGUG